CCUCGCUUUGUCCAGUGGUGUCAUGGAAAUUUCACCACAGACGUUUCUAUGAACAAACAGGAAACCGGUCGGUCGUUGGUGUGGCAAAGUUGCGAGAGAGUCAAUAAAAGCAGGUAAAUGGCAGCAGAGAAGUUGCAGCAGCGCCAGCAGGAAAGGGAAGCGCUUGGGGGUUUGAUCCUGUCCAAAUGAACCGCUCACCCUCCCUUUAGCUUCAGAAUGGGAAGGAAAAAGAAGAAAGAAUUAGUGGGAAAAUUAUGUUUCCUUUAAUGAAAAAGAGCAGUUGCAUACAGUAGAAGCCACAUCUGAAAACAUCACAAAUGUUUCAAUGGAAUAUCCUUUAAGGAGCAAAAGGCAAGAUGGCGGCACCAUGACUCUGGAUUCGUGACACUACGAAUCUACCUGGAAGCAGGCUCGGGGUGUGCAAAGCAUAGGGACGGGUCAUAGGGUACCUUCCUAUACCCAGUUACCCUGGAGUGAGACUCCUUGAUUUCAACAAGACUUGCUUCUGAAGAGACAUGUCUCGAUGUAUUUUCAAAGGCUUUCACGGCUGGGAUCCGAUGGUGGUUGUCGGUUAUUCGGGCUGUUUGGCCGUGUUCUGCAGGACAUGUCUCGGAUGGCACUGUUCAUUUCUUGAUCAGAUUUUAUUUUAUUUAUGCUGUGUGUCUUAUUGUUAGUGUUACAUACAUACAUUUUAUUAUUACGGCAUCGAGCCAUACAAAAUUGAAUACAUAACUUCAUAGACAGGCAUGUACUACAAAGCCAUACAAGAGGUAAAAAUAAAGGAUAAAAAAAGGGUAAAAAGCUAAAAGGAUAAAAGGUAAAACUGCUAGAAGAUAAAAGGUAAACUGUUGAGGAGAGUGGCAUAUAUAGUCAUACAAAAGGUAAAAUGUCUACAAACAACUAAGAAUGUCUGAAGCAGCAAAUAUAGCGAUGUAUGGCCAAUACUCUGGUUUCUCUUCAGAUCGUAUUGUUAGUGUUAUAUUUUGUAUCUGCUUUAUGGUGUUUUGACUGUUAACUGCCCCAAGUAGUACCCAGCAGUCAAAGAAAAAUUCAGAACUCUGCAACAUUUCCUCCUUCUCCGUUACUUCUUCCUUCGACUUUGCCUCCUCUUCUCUGUUUCCUUGUUGUUCUCUACCUGCAUCUCCUUCUUCUUCGCCUCCUCCUC